rnacentral:rRNA from 1 species
GUCUACGGCCAUACCACCCUGAACGCGCCCGAUCUCGUCUGAUCUCGGAAGCUAAGCAGGGUCGGGCCUGGUUAGUACUUGGAUGGGAGACAAGCAGAAGUAGCGUUGGGUUUGAUC